UCCUACGGGAGGCAGCAGUGGGGAAUUUUGGACAAUGGGCGCAAGCCUGAUCCAGCCAUGCCGCGUGCAGGAUGAAGGCCUUCGGGUUGUAAACUGCUUUUGUACGGAACGAAAAGACUCUGGUUAAUACCUGGGGUCCAUGACGGUACCGUAAGAAUAAGCACCGGCUAACUACGUGCCAGCAGCCGCGGUAAUACGUAGGGUGCGAGCGUUAAUCGGAAUUACUGGGCGUAAAGCGUGCGCAGGCGGUUAUAUAAGACAGAUGUGAAAUCCCCGGGCUCAACCUGGGAACUGCAUUUGUGACUGUAUAGCUAGAGUACGGCAGAGGGGGAUGGAAUUCCGCGUGUAGCAGUGAAAUGCGUAGAUAUGCGGAGGAACACCGAUGGCGAAGGCAAUCCCCUGGGCCUGUACUGACGCUCAUGCACGAAAGCGUGGGGAGCAAACAGGAUUAGAUACCCUGGUAGUCCACGCCCUAAACGAUGUCAACUGGUUGUUGGGUCUUCACUGACUCAGUAACGAAGCUAAGCGAAUGAAGAUGA
rnacentral:rRNA from 1 species